rnacentral:rRNA from 1 species
AUUCUAGCCAUAACAUUGUAUGCUAAAAUAUUAAAAGAUAUGACCUCUAAAUUUAAAGGAUUUGGCGGUAAUUUAAUCCAAUCAGAGGAACCUGUUUAAUAAACGAUACACCACGCAAAAUCUUACCUAGUUUUAGUUUGUAUACCGUCAUUAUUAGAUAAUUUUUAAAAAAUAAAUUAUUAAAAUAAAAAUCUUUAAUAUAUUAGAUCAAGGUGCAGCUUAUAAUUAGGAACCUAAUGGGUUACAAUAAAAUUAAUUUACACGGAUGUAUUUCCUUAAAUGGUUAUCUAAAGGAGGAUUUGAUAGUAAAAUUAGUUUAAUAAGCAAAUUUGACAACGGACCUAAAUUGCGUACAUAUCGCCCGUCACUUUCAUUUCUAAAUGAAAUAAGUCGUAACAUAG